rnacentral:rRNA from 1 species
GUUUGAUCCUGGCUCAGGAUGAACGCUGGCGGCGUGCUUAACACAUGCAAGUCGAACGGGAAUUACUUUAUUGAAACUUCGGUCGAUUUAAUUUAAUUCUAGUGGCGGACGGGUGAGUAACGCGUGGGUAACCUGCCUUAUACAGGGGGAUAACAGUCAGAAAUGACUGCUAAUACCGCAUAAGCGCACAGAGCUGCAUGGCUCGGUGUGAAAAACUCCGGUGGUAUAAGAUGGACCCGCGUUGGAUUAGCUAGUUGGUGAGGUAACGGCCCACCAAGGCGACGAUCCAUAGCCGGCCUGAGAGGGUGAACGGCCACAUUGGGACUGAGACACGGCCCAGACUCCUACGGGAGGCAGCAGUGGGGAAUAUUGCACAAUGGGGGAAACCCUGAUGCAGCGACGCCGCGUGAAGGAAGAAGUAUCUCGGUAUGUAAACUUCUAUCAGCAGGGAAGAAAAUGACGGUACCUGACUAAGAAGCCCCGACUAACUACGUGCCAGCAGCCGCGGUAAUACGUAGGGGGCAAGCGUUAUCCGGAUUUACUGGGUGUAAAGGGAGCGUAGACGGAUGGACAAGUCUGAUGUGAAAGGCUGGGGCUCAACCCCGGGACUGCAUUGGAAACUGCCCG